AAGGUUGGUUUAUUUUACACUCCCAUCUAUUGUGAAGCAGUUCAGUUGCUGUGAGCGGCUGUAAAGGGUUUAAUCAGGGCAGGAAACGGGUCUGUCCCGGGUCUCAAACGGAUUCUGUCCAUCAACUGAAGGACAGUUUCCUGGUGCAGUGCUGCCAAAUAUCCUGCAGAGGGCAGUAUUGAUCGACUGGUUUUGAUGAAGGCAGAAAGUAUGUGAAGGCAGCA